GGGGGGGGGGGGGGGGGGGGCGGAUGCAGGCGGGGCGGGCGGAGGGGGGGGGGGCUUGCUUGUCUGAUGUUGGCGGCGGGCGGGGGAGUAACACGUGGAUAACCUACCUCUAAGACUGGGAUAACUUCGGGGAACCGGAGCUAAUACCGGAUCAUAUUUUUAACCGCAUGGUUCCAAAGUGAAAGCCGGUCUUGCUGUCCCGUAUAUGUGGAUCCGCGCUGCAUUAGCUAGUUUGUAAGGUAAAGGCCUACCAAGGCAACGAUUCAGAGCCGACCUGCGCGGGGGAUCGGACACACAGGAACUGAGACACGGGACUGACUCCUACGGGAGGCAGCAGUAGGGAAUCUUCCGCAAUGGGCGAAAGCCUGACGGAGCAACGCCGCGGGAGUGAGGAAGGUCUUCGGAUCGUAAAACUCUGUUAUUAGGGAAGAACAUAUGUGUAAGUAACUGUGCACAUCUUGACGGUACCUAAUCAGAAAGCCACGGCUAACUACGUG
rnacentral:rRNA from 1 species